rnacentral:rRNA from 1 species
UACGUAGGGUGCAAGCGUUGUCCGGAAUUAUUGGGCGUAAAGAGCUCGUAGGCGGUUCGAUAAGGCGGACGUGAAAUCUCCACGCUCAACGUGGAGGGGCCGUUCGAUACUGUCGUGACUCGAGUCCGGUAGGGGAGUGUGGAAUUCCCGGUGUAGCGGUGAAAUGCGGAGAUAUUGGGAGGAACACCAGUGGCGAAGGCGGCUCACUGGACCGGAACUGACGCUGAGGCGCGAAAGCGUGGGGAGCAAACGGG